rnacentral:rRNA from 1 species
UACGACUACAUAUCAGGCAUAUCAAUAAGCGGAGGAAAAGAAACUAACAAGGAUUCCCUUAGUAACGGCGAGUGAAGCGGGAAGAGCUCAAAUUUGAAAUCUUAAAGGGUUUCCCUUUACGAAUUGUAGUUUAAAGAAGUGUUUUCUGUUGGAGUUUCGGUAAAAGUUCUUUGGAAUAGGACAUCAUAGAGGGUGAGAAUCCCGUAUUUGACCGUUACUUUCAGCUGUGUGAUACACUUUCAAAGAGUCGGAUUGUUUGGGAAUGCAGUCCAAGAUGGGUGGUAAAUUUCAUCUAAAGCUAAAUAUUGGCGAGAGACCGAUAGCGAACAAGUACCGUGAGGGAAAGAUGAAAAGAACUUUGAAAAGAGAGUUAAACAGUACGUGAAAUUGUCAAAAGGGAAGCGUUUGACACCAGUGUUGUUUUUCCGAAAAUCAAUUAAGAAGGGCUUGAUUUUGUGUUGUAUUGACCUUAUCAGCUUUCUUCACUCUUUUUCGAGUCUUUCUUAAUGCACUUUUCGGUUAACAAGUCAACAUCAAUUUCUUUUGUUGUAAAAGGGUAUUUGGAAGGUGGCUUUCCUUUUCGGAGAAAGUGUUUAUAGCCUUAUACCUCUACAAUCGGAGAGAUUGAGGUCUGCAGCGUAGAUCCUUCGGGGCUAGAUACACUUGUGCUAAGUUAUAGCUUUUCAUAGACAACUUGUUGACUAUGUUUAGUCAUGUAGCUUACCCGCUUGUGCUAUUUUACCUACGCUUAGGAUGUUGAUCUACAGAGCGAGAGU